UACAGAGGUCCCAAGCGUUGUUCGGAUUCAUUGGGCGUAAAGGGUGCGUAGGUGGCGUCGUAAGUCGGGUGUGAAAUCUCGGGGCUUAACUCCGAAACUGCAUUCGGUACUGCGGUGCUUGAGGACUGGAGAGGAGACUGGAAUUUACGGUGUAGCAGUGAAAUGCGUAGAGAUCGUAAGGAAGACCAGUGGCGAAGGCGGGUCUCUGGAAAGUUCCUGACACUGAGGCACGAAGGUCAGGGGAGCAAACGGG
rnacentral:rRNA from 1 species